CGGAGGAACCACAGAAAAAAAUUCUCUUUACGCAAAAAAACUAAGCAUCAUUAAGAAUGAGGUAGAGGUUCCAUCGGUACACAGUUUAAAACUUAGAAACAAAUGUGAUUUUCUGAAGCCAAAAGAAGCACCACCUAGAGUACAGAAAAAUAAUCCAGAAAAGAAAUCAAAUGAGAAAACAGAGAAAAUAAAUAGACAGGAAAAUGAAUUUAAGGAAAAGGCAGAAUAGGGAAGCAGGAAGAAAAAGGAAUCUACGAAAAUGGAACAGAAAGAAAGACAGAAUUUAGCAUAGGAGGAAAGCAGGAAGGCAAAGGAAGUGCGGCAGAAUGGCAAACAGAACUUAGCAGAGAAAUUAAGCAGAAAGGAAAAGGAAUUAAAGAAAAUGGGACAGAAGGGAAAACAGAAUUUUUAAAAGUAUUGAAGUAGAGUGUUUCAUGGAAGCUCGCAGGCUCUGUGAAUCGGUGAAAAAGGCAGCGAAGGGAAGCACGGAGGAAAAGGCAAAGGAGGAAAGGAAGGAAAAGGAAUCAAAGGAAAUAGGGCAGAAGGGAAAACGGAAUUUAGUAGAGGAGGAAGGCAAGAAGGAAAAGGAAUCAAAGGAAAUGAGACAGACAGAGGAGGGAAGCAGGUAGGUUAAGGAAUCAAAGGAAAUGGGACAGAAUUGAAAACAAAAUUUAGCAGAGGAGGGAAGCAUGAAGGAAAAGAAUUCCAAGGGAUUAGGACAUAAGGGAAAGGAGAAUUUAAAAAGUAUCAAAGCAGAGUGGUUUAUGGAAGCUUUCAGGCUCCGUGAGCAGAAAGAGAAUCGUUGUGAAACGUAAAUAAAGAGGCGAAACAAAACCUCUCAGACAAAAUUAAUAGUGGCGAACUUCUAGCGGUUGGCCACGUAGACGUUGCAAAUCAGAAGACUCAUGCUGGAGGCGGAAUUUGGUUAUUAAAACGUGAUUACGAUUCUGUAAAAUUUAGAAAAUCUAAACGUUCAGAAAUGUUUAUUAAAAAUAUAGUAGUAAAAAUUUUUUCUGUAGAAACCUUAAAUCAAUGAAGUGUCGCGGGAGAAUGCAGUAACGCAUACAAAAACAGCGUGAAGAGGCCUUCUUCAGAUAUAAAAAAAUUAAAUGCUG